AUUGAACGCUGGCGGCAUGCUUUACACAUGCAAGUCGAACGCGAAAGGGGGCAACCCCGAGUAGAGUGGCGAACGGGUGAGUAAUGCAUCGGAACGCGUCCUGUAGUGGGGGACAACCCCGAGAAAUCGGGGCUAAUACCGCAUACGAUCUGCGGAUGAAAGUGGGGACCGCAAGGCCUCACGCUAUAGGAGCGGCCGAUGCCGGAUUAGCUAGUUGGUGGGGUAAAGGCCCACCAAGGCGACGAUCCGUAGCUGGUCUGAGAGGACGACCAGCCACACUGGGACUGAGACACGGCCCAGACUCCUACGGGAGGCAGCAGUGGGGAAUUUUGGACAAUGGGCGCAAGCCUGAUCCAGCCAUGCCGCGUGAGUGAAGAAGGCCU
rnacentral:rRNA from 1 species